rnacentral:tRNA from 2 species
UGUGACAGAAUAGUGUGAUAAAUUUAAGAUUUAUAUAUAAAGGUAUCUUUCUUUAGAA